GAUAAGGUUGUGGAUGCUUGGUAGUGGUUAAGCAAAGCUUUUCCACCAUCGUCGUGCUGGCUAUGUUCGAGCAACUUUCACCAUCAAUAAUAACUCUACAAAGCUUACCUUGUACGUGGCAGCGAGUAUGAAAUAGAUGUUUUCGUUGUUGCUCGCUCUUUGGUUUUGCCAAAGAUGAUUGUCCAUGAUCAUGACAAUCAUCAUCCAUUCUAGGGACACGUUGAGGGUUGCAC
rnacentral:lncRNA from 1 species